rnacentral:tRNA from 1 species
GAGGGUGUAGCUCAGUGGUAGAGCGAAUGCUUAGCAUGCAGGAGGUCCUGGGUUCAAUCCCCUGUACCAUAA